rnacentral:snRNA from 1 species
UGUCUUACCUGGUAGGGGAGAACCAUGACCGAGAAGGUGGUUUUCCCAGGGCAAGGCUUAUCCAGUGUAGUCAGAUAUGUGUGAUUUCCCCAAAUCUAGGAAACUGGAUUUCAUAAUUUGUGGUAGUGGGGGAACUACAUUCAUGCUCUCCCCUG